rnacentral:rRNA from 1 species
AGCCGCGGUAAUUCCAGCUCCAAUAGCGUAUAUUAAAGUUGUUGCAGUUAAAAAGCUCGUAGUUGAAUUUUAGGCCUGACCGGGCGGUCCGUCUCUGGCGAGUACUGUCUGUUGUCGGGUCUAUCCUUCUGGUGAGCCGGUAUGCCCUUUAUUGGGUGUGUCGGGGAACCAGGACCAUUACCUUGAAAAAAUUAGAGUGUUUAAAGCGGGCUUUUGCUUGAAUAGAUUAGCAUGGAAUAAUAGAAUAGGACGUUGGUUCUAUUUUGUUGGUCUAGGACCACCGUAAUGAUUAAUAGGGAUAGUUGGGGGCAUUAGUAUUCAAUUGUCAGAGGUGAAAUUCUUGGAUUUAUUGAAGACUAACUACUGCGAAAGCAUUUGCCAAGGAUGUUUUCAUUAAUCAAGAACGAAAGUUAGGGGAUCGAAGACGAUCAGAUACCGUCGUAGUCUUAACCAUAAACUAUGCCGACUAGGAAUCGGGCGACGUUAUUCUCAUGACUCGCUCGGCGCCUUAUG